UACGUAGGGUGCGAGCGUUAAUCGGAAUUACUGGGCGUAAAGCGUGCGCAGGCGGUUUUGUAAGCCAGAUGUGAAAUCCCCGGGCUUAACCUGGGAAUGGCAUUUGGGACUGCAAGGCUCGAGUGCGGCAGAGGAGACUGGAAUUCCUGGUGUAGCAGUGAAAUGCGUUGAUAUCAAUCGGAACUCCGGUGGCGAAGGCGGCAUACUGGACGUUAUCUGACGCUGAGGCGCGAAAGCCAGGGGAGCAAACGGG
rnacentral:rRNA from 1 species